rnacentral:misc_RNA from 1 species
CCUACCCCCAGUACAACUAUCCCCCACAGGCGGCAGGACCAGAUGGAAACCAACCCCCUCCUCCUUAUAAAUAAAAUAUCAUACGCAAAUAUUAAACUGCUUUUUUUAACCCCUCUACCUUAUGUUUUAAUGUAACAAUGCAUCAUUGAUAUAAAUAUGCUUUUUAUUCAAACAUAAGGUUUCAAAAUGUAUAUAUAUAUAUAUGAUUUUGUCAAAUUAACAUCAGCUGUUAACCUUUAGCAUUUUCAUUUUAAAACUUUUAUUCUGGCAUCUGAAAUCUUAUUAUUUAUCUAUUAAGUUAACGAAUGGUCCGUUCAGUCUAUUGUUUAGAUUUGUUCAAAGUGUGACAUCCAAAAAACAUUUGAUUCAUUUUGAAAUAACAGGGUAUAUAUCUGUUAAUAAUAAAAAAAAUAUUGCAAUUGAGCUUUUUAGUUUCAAAUGUUUAAUAACUUGUGUAUAUAGAAAAGUUAAGCUUUAUUAAUUUAGUUUUACAGAUUAUUGAUAGUAAUAUAAUAUUCUGUUUUGUUACACGUAGAGGAAUCUGUGUGAUAUUGAUACAAAUUGUUUUUAUGAAAGGACAUGCAAUAUCUAAAUUCCUGUAAUAUGCAGUAUGUUUAUAAAUGUGUUUUAACAUAUCA